CCUACGGGAGGCAGCAGUGAGGAAUAUUGGUCAAUGGACGAGAGUCUGAACCAGCCAAGUAGCGUGAAGGAUGACUGCCCUAUGGGUUGUAAACUUCUUUUAUAUGGGAAUAAAAUGUUCCACGUGUGGGAUUUUGUAUGUACCAUAUGAAUAAGGAUCGGCUAACUCCGUGCCAGCAGCCGCGGUAAUACGGAGGAUCCGAGCGUUAUCCGGAUUUAUUGGGUUUAAAGGGAGCGUAGGUGGAUUGUUAAGUCAGUUGUGAAAGUUUGCGGCUCAACCGGAGAAUUGCAGUUGAAACUGGCAGUCUUGAGUGCAGUAGAGGUGAGCGGAAUUCGUGGUGUAGCGGUGAAAUGCUUAGAUAUCACGAAGAACUCCGAUUGCGAAGGCAGCUCACUGGACUGCAACUGACACUGAGGCUCGAAAGUGUGGGGAUCAAACAGGAUUAGAUACCCGAGUAGUC
rnacentral:rRNA from 1 species